rnacentral:rRNA from 1 species
AUACGGAGGAUGCGAGCGUUAUCCGGAUUUAUUGGGUUUAAAGGGAGCGUAGGUGGGAUAUUAAGUCAGCUGUGAAAGUUUGGGGCUCAACCUUAAGAUUGCAGUUGAUACUGGUUUCCUUGAGUACGGUACAGGUGGGCGGAAUUCGUGGUGUAGCGGUGAAAUGCUUAGAUAUCACGAAGAACUCCGAUCGCGAAGGCAGCUCACCGGGCCGGAACUGACACUGAUGCUCGAAAGUGCGGGUAUCAAACAGGAUUAGAUACCCUGGUAGUCCGCACAGUAAACGAUGAAUACUCGCUGUUUGCGAUACACUGUAAGCGGCCAAGCGAAAGCGUUAAGUAUUCCACCUGGGGAGUACGCCGGCAACGGUGAAACUCAAAUGAAUUGGCGGGG